GACGUAGGGCGCGAGCGUUGUCCGGAAUUAUUGGGCGUAAAGAGCUCGUAGGCGGUCUGUCGCGUCUGCUGUGAAAACUCAGGGCUUAACCCUGAGCUUGCAGUGGGUACGGGCAGACUAGAGUGCGGUAGGGGAGACUGGAAUUCCUGGUGUAGCGGUGAAAUGCGCAGAUAUCAGGAGGAACACCCGUGGCGAAGGCGGCCUGCUGGGGCAGUUGCUGACACUGAGGCGCGACAGCGUGGGGGAGCAAACAGG
rnacentral:rRNA from 1 species